rnacentral:misc_RNA from 1 species
ACUUCUGGUGCUUGUUCAGGUUAGUUUCUCUAGCAGUGAAUAUGAUAAAUUGAUUGAAGUCAGAGUUGAAACUGAAUCAUGCUUAUGUUGGUUAAGGUUCACAAAGAAAGGAAAAUAAAAAAGUGACCAAGCCCACUCCCUCCCCCAUGACUGAUAAUCUUUGAUUCACUACAUGCUUAAAGCAUAAUGAGAAUUGACUGUCCAUAGAUCUGAAGCUACGUAAUAUAAUCAUGCAGCAAAAAUGUAAGCCAAACAAUGUUGGUCACUCCUGCCAGUAGGCCUAGCAAAAUAUUAACAGUUGUCAUUUGCUCAUUGUCUGUUUAAGCACUUCUUCUCUGUCCCCUCCUUUGUAGAUGUCAUAGGCUGUUAUGGAGUCUGGUUUUUUUCGUCAUAGCUCAAAUGAUGAUGUUGUUCUCUUAAUAUCAGUGCAACACAUCUGCUCUGAUUCUCAAUCUUGUUAUUGCUGUAUUUCCUUGCACAUCUAACAAGCUUUCUUUCCUAUGUUAGGACAAUCAAUUUAUUGA